AUUGAACGCUGGCGGCAGGCCUAACACAUGCAAGUCGAACGAGUGGCGGACGGGUGAGUAAUGUCUGGGAAAAUGCCUGAUGGAGGGGGAUAACUACUGGGAACGGUAGCUAAUACCGCAUACCAUCAGAUGUGCCCAGAUGGGAUUAGCUUGGUGGGGGGGUAACGGCUCACCAAGGCGACGUUCCCUAGCUGGUCUGGUAGGAUGACCAGCCACUCUGGAGCUGAGACACGGUCCAUACUCCUACGGGAGGCAGCGGUGGGGAAUAUUGCACAAUGGGCGCAAGCCUGAUGCAGCCAUGCCGCGUGUAUGAAGAGGGCCUUCGGGUUGUAAAGUACUUUCAGCGGGGAGGCGUUACCCGCAGAAGAAGCACCGGCUAACUCCGUGCCAGCAGCCGCGGUAAUUC
rnacentral:rRNA from 1 species